AUGUCUUCCCCUGUGCACACAUUUGGUUUUCUCUUCAUCUGGUUAUCAUGUCAGGUGAGCGCUGUUACAUUUGACCAAUCUCCUCCCCAGAUAGUGAAGGAGAGCACUGAGGUCCAGAUUAAGUGCAGCCACGAGGACACUUCCCUCGUAGUAAUGCUCUGGUACCAGCAAAGAAAGGUCCAGGACAGUCUGUCUAUGACCCUCAUUGGGUAUGGAUAUGAAAACAGCCCCCAAACCCAUGAGGAUCAGUUUAAAGAACAGUUCAACCUGACAAGAGAAAACACAGUGAGAGGAGCUCUGAUUAUACGCAAAGCAGACCUGUCGCACUCGGCUGUGUAUUUCUGCGCUGCCAGUACACAGUGA